rnacentral:misc_RNA from 1 species
CUCGGAGAAUAUCGGAGGCUAUAGAUUUGUUGGAGAAAGGGAGGGAAUUCCAGGCUCAAGGUGACUUCAUUGAUGCUCUUCUUUACUUCACUCAGGUUGGUUAUGGAUUCUUCUUUGGCAUUUUCUUUUUCUUCUUCUGUUUCCCCCAUUUAGAUAACUGAAAAUAAUUGUUAGAAACUGCUUAGGUUGGGUAUGUUUUUGGGGGCAAAUCCAUACUGGAAAAUUUUGGGAAUUUUGGGUUUGCGGCAAAUUUAUUAGAUGAUUCUUGAUAUUCUAAAGCUAAGCUCUUUUGCCAUCUAACUGGGUAAUACAAUUUGAUUGAUGACUUGAUAGCUUUGAUAUUGAUAAGGAAUGAACAUAAACAUUCACAUAGCACCUUUAAUUACUCCAUUGUGAAUAAAAAGCUGUAGAGUUAAGGACUGCCUGUGUAGGUAUCAUUUGAUCUUAGGUUUUUGUUUUAUUUGCAUGAUUGGCUUAACAUAUUAUAUGGACCUUCGGAAUCUUUGUAAUGUUCAAUCAUGGUUUUAGAAAAUAUAUGUGAUCUUUGUAAUUUGGAAAUUAAGUUUCCAUCAAUAUUCUGUACAAAGUUACCAUUAACAGAUAUAUUAAAUGUGUUGAAAGUGAUAAUGGAUAAUUCCAUUAAAUUCCUUGUAGAUGUGCAUGAGGAAAAUUGUACUAACUUUUUGCCACAUUGGACCUGCUCUAGUAGUUGUUUUUGUUCCUGAUAGAGAGCUCAUAGAAUGUGUUGGUGAUCCUUAGGUUCAUUGUUUUUGCUUUCUUGAACGUCCACUACCUUUCCCUGCCACACAAUCACCAUAUUUUUUUUUCUCAAGUCUUAUGCCUCAUCUGUAAGGGUUUUUCCUUUUCUUUAAAAUGCAAAUGACCUUAAAAAAAGAACCCUUAACGUUGUGAUUAUUUCCAAUUGGUAACAAUUAUGGCCAAUUGCGAGUGAGCACACGUGUACACAUCUGGAGCAUACAUGUCAGCCCAGUUGGUUAAAAAUAUAUGUUUAUUUCUUUGCAAUUUUAAUGAUACAAAGUAUUAUUAUUUUAUAAUUUUUUUCCAAAUUAAAAAAAAAAGAUUUAUUUUUCAU